rnacentral:rRNA from 1 species
CUACGGGUUGCUGCAGUGGGGAAUCUUAGACAAUGGGCGCAAGCCCGAUCUAGCCAUGCCGCGUGAGUGAUGAAGGCCUUAGGGUCGUAAAGCUCUUUCGCUGGGGAAGAUAAUGACGGUACCCAGUAAAGAAACCCCGGCUAACUCCGUGCCAGCAGCCGCGGUAAUACGGAGGGGGUUAGCGUUGUUCGGAAUUACUGGGCGUAAAGCGCGCGUAGGCGGACUGUUAAGUCGGGGGUGAAAUCCCGGGGCUCAACCCCGGAACGGCCUUCGAUACUGGCAGUCUGGAGUUCGAGAGAGGUGAGUGGAAUUCCGAGUGUAGAGGUGAAAUUCGUAGAUAUUCGGAGGAACACCAGUGGCGAAGGCGGCUCACUGGCUCGAUACUGACGCUGAGGUGCGAAAGUGUGGGGAGCAAACAGGAUUAGAUACCCUCGUAGUC